rnacentral:lncRNA from 1 species
UCCCGCCCACCGAGGACAGCCCCACCCACAGCGCGCGGUCCAGCCCAGACGAAGCCCCGCCCACCUGACGUCAUUCCGCUCGGGGCGGGGUCCCACCCUCGUAACGUAGCCCCGCCCCUGGGGCGAAGUGUCCGCCCCCCUCCAUGGGAGGCCGGGCCCGAAGAGCAUCCCUUACCUGCGGCGGGAUGGAGGAGCGGCCCUCGGCCCCGGCGAGCUCAGGGCGUUGGAGAUGCAGCCAAGCCUGGACUUCCCGCGCGGGGAGGCAAAUGGAGCUAUGAAGCCUAGGAAUGGAACAUGACGUGAGCGAGCCCUAGAGCCAGAAAUGGACAUGCAUGCCGUACUUGUAGGGUGAGUAGGUAGUAGGAUGAUUAGAUUCCUUAUUUUGGGUGACUUUUUUGUUAUGUGGAGAAUAUUCUUAUUUGUAGGAAAUACGCAUGAAAAGUGUUUGGGGAAAUGAGAAUAUUUUAUCAGUAACUUAGUCUCAAAUGGUUCAGAAAAGAAAAACCUUGUAUUAUUAUUUUUCUGUCAGUUUGAAACUCUUUCAAAAUAAAUAAAAUAAAUCCUUCUUGGUUAUCAAGGCCCUUCUUUAGCUCAUUAUACUAGCGUCAUCUUCAAAGAUACCUGCGUACUCCCACUUCCUCAGCCAUACUGGACUCCUUUCACCCCUACAAGCAUGGCAUGCAUGUUGGUCGGUUUCUGGCUCUAUGGCUAGCUCACAUAAUGCCCCUGUGUGCCUUGCAUGGGAGCUAGCUGCUCGAGUGAGUAGUGAGCAGCAGGGGAGGGAGAGGGACAAGCAGACUCAGUGCUGAGUCUGGGGGUGGGGGGUGAUGGUGCUCAACUUGGGGCUUGACUUGGGGCUCUAUGCAGAGCUUGACCUAGGGCUCCAUCUAGGCCCUAAGAUCAUGGCUUGAGCUGAAAUCAAGAGUUGGACACUUAACUGACUGAGCCACCCUGGCACCCCUCUCUUUAAUCAACUCUUACUUGGAAUUGUAAUUCAAUCUUGCUUUGGCUUUCCUAGCUUGACACUUUAAAAAAUAAUAGUCUGUUUUGUAGAAUGUUUCAUAAUUGGGAGUUUUUCUGUUUCCUCAUAACUUGAUUCAGGAUAUACUUUUGGGAAAGGACGUGAACAGAAAUACCCCAGAAGUGGUGCUGUGGUCUCAUUGCAUCCCAUCAGGUGGUUCGUGACUGAAAUUUGUCCCAUUAUGUGGAUGUUAACUUUGGCUGCUUAAGAUUUUUUUUUCUCAACUCUUCCCACAGAUUUACUCCUUUCCUCUUUUAAUCAAUGAGUAUUUUGUGAGGAGCUGUUUGAGACUAUGCCACUAUUUUACUCCUCAUCAAACUUUCAUGCUGGUUUUGGUAGUCACUGAUGUUUCUUGGAUAAUUUAAUUAUUACUGUGUUGAUUCCCAAAUUGUAAUUUUUAAAAAUAUUUUAUUUAUUCAUGAGAAACAGAGAGAGAGGCAGAGACACAGGCAGAGGGAGAAGCAGGCUCCAUGCAGGGAGCCCAAUGUGGGGCUCUAUCCUAGGUUUCCAGGAUCACGCCCUGGGCUGAAGGUGGCACUAAACUGCUGAAUCACCCGGGCCGCCCCCAAAUUGUAAUUUUUAUACUUUUGUCAUUCUUUCUAUAGUCAUCAGUUGACAUGCCAUUGUAAAUAAAAACUUUGUUCUCUGUUCAUUUAUUCAUUUGUUUAUAUUAGUACAGGCUCACGGGUUGCUAUUUUAUUCAAUGGAUUAUAGCCUUUUAUUAUCAUAAUUCAUUUUGAUGUUUACAUUGCCUGAGAUUUGGCCAGUGAGUGCUCCUCCACAUACAUCCUUUUGACUUGCUCCCAUCGAUCAUUGGCCACCUUCUUACUUUCUGACACAGCAAAGCACUUCAGGUUCAUUUUGGGCCUAUAUAUUCCAAGUCCCAGAAUUAGUCAUUUCUCCAUGAAGCCCUGGUUCCUUUCAGUGGAGAAUAAUAUUUAGAAGCCAAGCCCUGGAAUAUUGAUGCUUCUAGGCCUCAGUGGGCAGAUCUAGGCAAUAUGUGCAUGGAUGUACAUACUAUUUGCCUGUCUAUCUACCUAUCUAUACAUGUUCCCACACCUCACCAACUGUGUUUAUUUCUAUAUAUAAAACCAUGAGUUUAUGUCAGUAUCUCCAAUUCCAGUUGAAACCAUAGGAUUUAUUUUAGCUUUCUACCUUUUCAUAUUUGUAAUUUCUUUCUCCACCAAGUGAGAAACCUGGCUCCCAUUAUUCUAAAUAUAUGUACUAGUCACUCAUUUGAUUAUCUUCCUCUUAGUAACCAAUCUUCCUUCACUGUUGCCACCUCUUUCAUCCUGACUUCAUGGAGAUACGCUCCUCACCCCCAUUGGGCUCACACCAUCCGUUGAAUCAUCCACUCUGGCUACUGCCACCUGCAGAGAUGGUUCCCUUACCCUUCUCAGGCUCUGACUUCCCCUAGGAUGCUGCUAUCUCCCCUCCCUUACUAAAACCU